rnacentral:rRNA from 1 species
GCAAGCGUUGUUCGGAUUUACUGGGCGUAAAGGGCGCGGAGGCGGCGCGGUAAGUCACUUGUGAAAUCUCUGAGCUUAACUCAGAACGGCCAAGUGAUACUGCUGUGCUAGAGUGCGGAAGAGGCAACCGGAAUUCUUGGUGUAGCGGUGAAAUGCGUAGAUAUCAAGAGGAACACCUGAGGCGAAGGCGGGUUGCUGGGCCGACACUGACGCUGAUGCGCGAAAGCCAGGGGAGCAAACG